rnacentral:rRNA from 1 species
UACGUAGGGGGCAAGCGUUGUCCGGAUUUAUUGGGCGUAAAGAGCGUGUAGGCGGCCGUACAGGUCAGCUGUGAAAACUCGAGGCUCAACCUCGAGACGUCGGUUGAAACCGUACGGCUAGAGUCCGGAAGAGGAGAGUGGAAUUCCCGGUGUAGCGGUGAAAUGCGCAGAUAUCGGGAAGAACACCCGUGGCGAAGGCGGCUCUCUGGGACGGUACUGACACUGAUGCGCGACAGCGUGGGGAGCAAACAGG